UUCUUUUCUUUUUUUUUCUUUUUUUCAGUCCCUUGCUUAUUUUUUUAGUCACAGUAACUAUCUUGAGAAAAGUUCUCAAAUCUUUAUUCAUGCCCAGGGGUUUCUGCGUAGGCCCACUCCUACUUCUUGGCUUUCCCUUGAAUUACAAAGGACUUGAAACUAUUACAAGACUUUCUUUAGGCAUAUGAUUAAAAGUGAGAGGGAAAAUGAGGGCACAAUGUGUUCCAGUGGGCAACAAAAGGAUGAAUGAAAUUCCAAAUUUCACAAAUAUAAUAUAGAUCAAAAGAAGCCAGACACAAAAUAAUACAGCCUGCAUGAUCCAUUUAAAUAACAUUUUAAAUUCCUGAGUUACUUCACUUAGAAUAAUAGUAUCCAGUCUCAUCCAGGUUGCUGCAAAUGCCAUUAAUUCUGUGCAAAAGCUCUUUAGUUUAAUUAAGUCCCAGCUAUUUAAUCUUUG
rnacentral:lncRNA from 1 species